rnacentral:rRNA from 1 species
AUUGAACGCUGGCGGUAGGCCUAACACAUGCAAGUCGAACGGCAACACAGUAAGAGCUUGCUCUUACGGGUGGCGGGUGGCGGACGGGUGAGGAAUACAUCGGAAUCUACUUUUUCGUGGGGGAUAACGUAGGGAAACUUACGCUAAUACCGCAUACGACCUACGGGUGAACGCAGGGGAUCUUCGGACCUUGCGCGAUUGAAUGAGCCGAUGUCGGAUUAGCUAGUUGGCGGGGUAAAGGCCCACCAAGGCGACGAUCCGUAGCUGGUCUGAGAGGAUGAUCAGCCACACUGGAACUGAGACACGGUCCAGACUCCUACGGGAGGCAGCAGUGGGGAAUAUUGGACAAUGGGCGCAAGCCUGAUCCAGCCAUGCCGCGUGGAGGAAGAAGGCCUUCGGGUUGUAAAGCGCUUUUGUUGGGAAAGAAAAGCAGCAGGUUAAUACCCCGCUGUUCUGACGGUACCCAAAGAAUAAGCACCGGCUAACUUCGUG